rnacentral:lncRNA from 1 species
GCUGCCACAGACCAACAAGCAAACAAACAGACAGGCUUCCAGGGGUGCGCUGGAAGCAGGCUUUCCAUCCUGCAGCCUCUCAGUGCACUUUUGACUAAGAAGCUCACGUCUGUGAUGAAAUAAGAGAAGUGGUUUCCAGAGACAGAUGUUUACAACGGGGCCCUGACUGCUCCUAUAUGAAAAUCCCAACACCUAUCUACUAUAUCCCUAUGACUUCCUGAUGAUGAGAUGACUCUCACAUUGAGACAUAACCAUGCAGAUUCACAGCGGAGUAACGUGUCUGGUGGAACAGAGUUCAUGCAUGACUUAUGA